UACAAUGGCGUAACAAAGGGAAGCGAACCUGUGAGGGGGAGGCAAAUCCCAAAAAUAAACGUCCCAGUUCGGACUGUAGUCUGCAACCCGACUACACGAAGCUGGAAUCGCUAGUAAUCGCGAAUCAGAAUGUCGCGGUGAAUACGUUCCCGGGUCUUGUACACACCGCCCGUCACACCAUGGGAGUCGGGAAUGCCCGAAGUCAGUGACCCAACCUUUGGAGGGAGCUGCCGAAGGCAGGUCUGAUAACUGGGGUGAAGUCGUAACAAGGUAAC
rnacentral:rRNA from 1 species